UUUCGAUUUCUUUGUCUAUUUCUCUGUUAUCCCCCCUUGUUUACAGAAAUAUGGCCUUUAUAUAUAGCCCGGAAAUAGAAAAAGAAAAUAAAUAAAUCUGCUAUUUCUUGCUAUUUUUUCUCCUUGGGCUCUUUGAGUCCGUUUUUACAGGUAAUCGUGGAGAAAUAGCCUGCGUGGAGGGGUCGGCCUCGAGACGUGCGGUGACUGGGCAUCUGCUGGAGGCAGGGAGGCUGCGGCGCUACUUGCUGCUGCUAGGGUUUCUAUUUUGGGGGUUUUGGGCUAAUUGUUUGGGUAAUUAGGCUUAAGUGGGUAUUGAGCUGUUAAUUGGGCCUGUUUUAAGUGGACCGGGCAAUUUGGGCUUGUACAAAGUCCUUGGAAUUAUACAUGAUGAUAUUGAAGGAUAUACAGUAAUCAGAGUAGUUUUUGUUUAAGUUUUGGUUAGACAUGAUGAUGGGUCAACUCACCCGUUUAGACUCGAAGGUCUAUCAUAAAAGUGGGAGGAUUUGGACAAAAAGUAUAAGCUUGAAAAAUAGGCUUGGAUAAAAAACAAAACUCGUUUUCUAAAUGGGUCGAGUCUCGGGCAGAAUUUUUUUGGCUUGGGCUCGGCCUGAAUCACAUGCCUAUACUCUCUUUUUUUGUAUUUUCAAUUUGUUGAAAAUAUUUAUUUUAAUAUUUUUAGUGUAUUUGACGUAUUAUAUUUUUAAAUUUAUUUUUAUAUAAAAAAUAAUCUGUAAAAUUAUUACGAUCGGGCUGGAGUUUAACAAAAAUUUA
rnacentral:lncRNA from 1 species